rnacentral:rRNA from 1 species
UACGGAGGGUGCAAGCGUUAAUCGGAAUUACUGGGCGUAAAGCGCACGCAGGCGGUCGGGCAAGUCGGAUGUGAAAUCCCCGGGCUCAACCUGGGAACUGCAUCCGAAACUGGAAGGCUUGAGUCUCGUAGAGGGGGGUAGAAUUCCAGGUGUAGCGGUGAAAUGCGUAGAGAUCUGGAGGAAUACCGGUGGCGAAGGCGGCCCCCUGGACGAAGACUGACGCUCAGGUGCGAAAGCGUGGGGAGCAAACAGG